CAUGGCUUUUUCAAUCAAUUCUGCCAGCUCUGUGUAAUGUGAGUCCAGUAGUGCCACCAAGAUGGAGUUUGAAUUGAUCUGAGCCGUUGGUGACGAAGAAGAAGAUGAUGAUGGCGAUGGUGAUGAAAAUGUAGUUGGGGUAUUGGAGAAGAAGAAAAUGAGGAUGAUGAAGAAGGUGCCAUGGAUGUAACAAUCCAUGGCGAAAAUCAAAGGAAUGCAAAAAAAAAUCUUGUUUUACUUGUAUUGUAGGAGAAGUGGGUAAAUCAAUGGAGGUGUCGGUUGCACUGUUGAGAAUUUGCCACGUGGCGGGUCAUGAUUGAACAGGGAGGGAGGGCUCGUGUGAAGAAAGAAAGAAGUGGAAAGGUGGGGUCCAGUACCCAACUGCUACCUGGCUUCAGCUGCUACUUACAGGUUGUGAGUAAAAUGGAGGUAUAAAUAAACCAACUUUCAUUACCUAAUAAUGCCAUUGUUUUCUACUAAUUCGUCAUUGGGAUAUCGUUCCACUUUACCCUCAUUUAUUAUCAAUUGGUGAAUUAUAUGGUGAAGAUGUAAGUUUAUA